AUUGAACGCUGGCGGCAUGCCUUACACAUGCAAGUCGAACGGUAACGGGCCUUCGGGUGCCGACGAGUGGCGAACGGGUGAGUAAUACAUCGGAACGUGCCCGAUCGUGGGGGAUAACGAGGCGAAAGCUUUGCUAAUACCGCAUACGAUCUGCGGAUGAAAGCAGGGGACCGCAAGGCCUUGCGCGGACGGAGCGGCCGAUGGCAGAUUAGGUAGUUGGUGGGAUAAAAGCUUACCAAGCCGACGAUCUGUAGCUGGUCUGAGAGGAUGAUCAGCCACACUGGGACUGAGACACAGCCCAGACUCCUACGGGAGGCAGCAGUGGGGAAUUUUGGACAAUGGGCGCAAGCCUGAUCCAGCCAUGCCGCGUGCAGGAUGAAGGCCUUCGGGUUGUAAACUGCUUUUGUACGGAACGAAAAGCCUUCUUUUAAUACAGGAGGGUCAUGACGGUACCGUAAGAAUAAGCACCGGCUAACUACGUG
rnacentral:rRNA from 1 species